rnacentral:snRNA from 1 species
GUGUUCACUUCAGCAGCAUAUACUAAAAUCAGAACGAUACAGAGAAGAUUAGCAUGACCCUGCACAAGAUGACACGCAAAUUUGUGAAAUGUUUCAUAUUUAA